CCUACGGGAGGCAGCAGUGGGGAAUAUUGCGCAAUGGGCGAAAGCCUGACGCAGCGACGCCGCGUGAGGGAUGAAGGUCUUCGGAUCGUAAACCUCUGUCAGCAGGGAAGAACGGUCACUGUGCUAAUCAGCAGUGAAUUGACGGUACCUGCAAAGGAAGCACCGGCUAACUCCGUGCCAGCAGCCGCGGUAAUACGGAGGGUGCGAGCGUUAAGCGGAAUUACUGGGCGUAAAGCGCUCGUAGGCGGUAUGUCAAGUCAAGGGGGAAAUCCCCGCGCUCAACGUGGGAACUGCCUUUGAAACUGGCAAACUGGAGUGUGUGAGAGGAUAGUGGAAUUCCAGGUGUAGGAGUGAAAUCCGUAGAUAUCUGGAGGAACAUCAGUGGCGAAGGCGACUAUCUGGCACAUAACUGACGCUGAGGAGCGAAAGCGUGGGUAGCAAACAGGAUUAGAUACCCGGGUAGUC
rnacentral:rRNA from 1 species